AUGAACGCUAGCGACAGGCCUAACACAUGCAAGUCAGGGGCAGCACAAGGAGCAAUCUGAGGUGGCGACCGGCGCACGGGUGAGUAACACGUAUGCAACCUGCCUGUAAGCGGGGAAUAACCCGUUGAAAGACGGACUAAUACCGCAUAAUACUAAAUUACUGCAUGGUAAUUUAUUUAAACAUUUAUGGCUUACAGAUGGGCAUGCGCAUGAUUAGCUAGUUGGAGAGGUAACGGCUCCCCAAGGCAACGAUCAUUAGGGGUUCUGAGAGGAAGGUCCCCCACACUGGUACUGAGACACGGACCAGACUCCUACGGGAGGCAGCAGUGAGGAAUAUUGGUCAAUGGACGAGAGUCUGAACCAGCCAAGUCGCGUGCAGGAAGAAUGUCCCUAUGGAUUGUAAACUGCUUUUGCAGGGGAAUAAAGUGCAUCACGUGUGAUGUUUUGUAUGUACUCUGCGAAUAAGGAUCGGCUAACUCCGUGCCAGCAGCUGC
rnacentral:rRNA from 1 species